GCGGGCUGAAGGGCUGCUGGAGCGCGGCCAGAGCGGACGCCGAGGCCGAGGAGGCGCCGAGAGCGAGUGAGAGCUGCUAGCCAGUUGUCACCUCUCACAGAGAGGUCCACAUUUGCUGAAAUGUAACUCUUAUCUCAUGCACUGGGAGUGAUGAACUUCACUAGGAAAUCAUCGUUCUUUCUGGAAUUAGACGAUAUAAGCUGCAGCUCAGAAUCAGAGCAGUAAGAAAUGUAGCAGCAUGUCAGAGCCUGUUCUUCAGACAUCAAGGUUGGUACUGUCUGUACUACACAGUCUCACUGCUGCCUAUAAGUAUAUAUGCGUGCACCUAUCAACACACUUAUGUACAAACACACAUACCAGUGGAUAGUGAGAGGAAGAACAAAAGAACCAGAGACCAAGUAAUAUGUAUUUGCUGGAUAAAUU
rnacentral:lncRNA from 10 species